NGGGGAAUAUUGGACAAUGGGCGAAAGCCUGACCCAGCAACGCCGCGUGAAGGAUGAAGUAUUUCGGUAUGUAAACUUCGAAAGAAUAGGAAGAAUAAAUGACGGUACUAUUUAUAAGGUCCGGCUAACUACGUGCCAGCAGCCGCGGUAAUACGUAGGGACCAAGCGUUGUUCGGAUUUACUGGGCGUAAAGGGCGCGUAGGCGGCAAUUCAAGUCAUCUGUGAAAUCUCCGGGCUUAACUCGGAACGGUCAGAUGAUACUGCUUUGCUAGAGUGCAGAAGGGGCAAUCGGAAUUCUUGGUGUAGCGGUGAAAUGCGUAGAUAUCAAGAGGAACACCUGAGGUGAAGACGGGUUGCUGGGCUGACACUGACGCUGAGGCGCGAAAGCCAGGGGAGCAAACGGGAUUAGAUACCCUUGUAGUCCCUGAGCGGGCUGGCAAGGCGCAU
rnacentral:rRNA from 1 species